rnacentral:rRNA from 1 species
UACGUAGGGUGCAAGCGUUGUCCGGAAUUAUUGGGCGUAAGGAGCUCGUAGGCGGUCUGUCGCGUCGGAUGUGAAAACCCAGGGCUCAACCCUGGGCCUGCAUUCGAUACGGGCAGACUAGAGUUCGGUAGGGGAGACUGGAAUUCCUGGUGUAGCGGUGAAAUGCGCAGAUAUCAGGAGGAACACCGGUGGCGAAGGCGGGUCUCUGGGCCGAAACUGACGCUGAGGAGCGAAAGCGUGGGGAGCAAACAGG